GUGGUAACGCCGGGCGUUUUGACCACGGAGAUACGAGUGGCGGCUGGCUUGACCACACGAUACGAUAUGAUAACGUUUCCUGUCCAUGACAGAGUUAGCAUGCAGCUUUAGCCGUGAUGUCUAGCUCUGCUUUUCAUGGCAAUGUGUGAAACCCAAA